rnacentral:rRNA from 1 species
CGUGUAGGCGGUUGAUUAAGUUAGUUGUCAAAUUCCCCAGCUUAACUGGGGGUCGGCAAUUAAUACUGGUUGACUAGAGAGCAAGAGAGAGAAGCGGAAUUCUCGGAGUAGCGGUAAAAUGCAUAGAUCUCGAGAGGAACACCGGUGGCGAAGGCGGCUUCUUGGCUUGUAUCUGACGCUAAAGCGCGAAAGCGUGGGGAGCAAACAGGAUUAGAUACCCUGGUAGUCC